ensembl:snRNA U6 U6 spliceosomal RNA
UUGCUUUGGCAGCAAGCAUCUAAAAUUGGGAUGAUGCAGAGAAGAUUAGCACUGCCCCUACACAAGGGUGACAUGCAAAUUCUUGCAGCAUUCCAUAUUAAA